rnacentral:rRNA from 1 species
CGGGACGGGUGAGUAAUGUCUGGGAAACUGCCUGAUGGAGGGGGAUAACUGCUGGAAACGGUAGCUAAUACCGCAUAACGUCGCAAGACCAAAGAGGGGGACCUUCGGGCCUCUUGCCAUCGGAUGUGCCCAGAUGGGGUUAGCUAGUAGGUGGGGUAACGGCUCACCUAGGCGACGAUCCCUAGCUGGUCUGAGAGGAUGACCAGCCACACUGGAACUGAGACACGGUCCAG